rnacentral:rRNA from 1 species
UACGGAGGGUGCAAGCAUUAAUCGGAAUGAUUGGGCGUAAAGGGCGCGUAGGCAGGUAGUAAAGUUAGAUGUGAAAUUCUGAAGCUCAACUUCAGAGCUGCAUUUAAGACUCACUAUCUCGAGGGUUGGCGGAGAAAACGGAAUUCCACGUGUAGCGGUGAAAUGCGUAGAUAUGUGGAAGAACACCUGUGGCGAAAGCGGUUUUCUAGCUAAUACCUGACGCUGAGGCGCGAGAGCAAGGGGAGCAAACAGG